AUGGAAAGCCUAUAAAAUGUGAACUGGUUGUUCUCUCUUAUUUAUGUGUGACAUAGGAGCAAAUGUUGGCAGGCAGCUACAAGCUCUGUACCUAGAGAUCUGGAGGCACAUUGUCUCACUCCCUUUUUCCACCAAAGGAGAGGACAUUCCUGUUGAAAGCCUAGAAGAAUUCUUCUUCCCUUCUAUGCUAAGGCUGCUGAUUGUGCUGAUUAGUCCUCAACCCAAGAGCCUUAAACAGCAAAAAGAUGGGAGAAAACUUUGAGCUUUAUUAACUACAGACAAAGAGCAAAAGCUGCUAAACUAAUAAAGGCUGGACCCCAGAGCCAUUGUGUGAAGAGCUCAGGAAUGUGAUCGUGAUUAUGGGAGAUUGUCAUUAUCCCACCUUUGCUGGGAAUUGAACUCUAUAAGAAUCCUCCUCUAUAAGAGUCCUCUUUUGCUCUUUGACAUCAUUUGUCAGCAAGUGGGAAAGAGAACAAGAGUGUCUGUUAUCCUCACCAACAGUGAGGAAUUGGUUGAAGAAGGAAAGCUGACUGGAAAC